rnacentral:rRNA from 1 species
UACGUAGGGAGCGAGCGUUGUCCGGAUUUAUUGGGCGUAAAGGGCGCGUAGGCGGUUCGGUAAGCCGGAUGUUAAAUCUCCAAGCUCAACUUGGAGCUGUCAUCCGGAACUGCUGUGACUAGAGUCUGGUAGGGGAACACGGAAUACCUGGUGUAGCGGUGAAAUGCUUAGAUAUCAGGUGGAACACCAGUGGCGAAGGCGGUGUUCUGGGCCAGUACUGACGCUGAUGCGCGAAAGCGUGGGGAGCGAACAGGAUUAGAUACCCUGGUAGUCCACGCCGUAAACGUUGCACACUAGGUGUGGGACCCUAUCGACGGGUUCCGUGCCGUAGCUAACGCAUUAAGUGUGCCGCCUGGGGAGUACGGUCGCAAGACUAAA